UGUGCCAGCAGCCGCGGUAAUACGUAGGGGGCGAGCGUUGUCCGGAAUUACUGGGCGUAAAGCGCGCGCAGGCGGUCCUUUAAGUCUGAUGUGAAAUUCCGCGGCUCAACCGCGGGUGUGCAUUGGAAACUGGGGGACUUGAGUGCGGAAGAGGGGAGCGGAAUUCCCGGUGUAGCGGUGAAAUGCGUAGAGAUCGGGAGGAACACCAGUGGCGAAGGCGGCUCUCUGGUCCGCAACUGACGCUGAGGCGCGAAAGCGUGGGGAGCGAACAGGAUUAGAUACCCUGGUAGUCCACGCCGUAAACGAUGAGUGCUAAGUGUUAGGGGGGAUUGACCCUUUAGUGCUGCAGCUAACGCAUUAAGCACUCCGCCUGGGGAGUACGGCCGCAAGGCUGAAACUCAAAGGAAUUGACGGGGGCCCGCACAAGCGGUGGAGCAUGUGGUUUAAUUCGAAGCAACGCGAAGAACCUUACCAGGUCUCGACAUCCCCUGACAACCCUGGAGACAGGGCGUUCCUCCCUUGCGGGAGGACAGGGUGACAGGUGGUGCAUGGUUGUCGUCAGCUCGUGUCGUGAGAUGUUGGGUUAAGUCCCGCAACGAGCGCAACCCUCGCCCCUAGUUGCCAGCAUUCAGUUGGGCACUCUAGGGGGACUGCCGGCUAAAGGUCGGGAGGAAGGUGGGGAUGAAGUCGAAUCAUC
rnacentral:rRNA from 1 species